rnacentral:rRNA from 1 species
UACGGAGGGGGCUAGCGUUGUUCGGAAUUACUGGGCGUAAAGCGCGCGUAGGCGGACCUGCAAGUCGGGGGUGAAAGCCCGGGGCUCAACCUCGGAACUGCCUUCGAUACUGCGGGUCUCGAGUCCGGGAGAGGUGAGUGGAAUUCCUAGUGUAGAGGUGAAAUUCGUAGAUAUUAGGAAGAACACCAGUGGCGAAGGCGGCUCACUGGCCCGGUACUGACGCUGAGGCGCGAAAGCGUGGGGAGCAAACAGG